UCUCUCUCUCUGUCUCUCUCCCUCUCCGUUUUGGUGUGCGUCUUUCACUCUUUUUCUCUCUCUUUCUCUAGAAAGUCUCUCCCAAUCUGCAGACUAAGAUCUGGAGACAGAAUGUGAGUGAGUGCAAAUUUUCUUUUUGAAAGAAGCUGAAAUUUUAGGGUUCUUAGGCCCAUGCUUUUCUUGGAUCCUUCCUCUCUCUUUAUUUCCUGCUUCUUUCCGGGAUUUCCGAUCUAGAUUUCUUGCAGUUUACGUGUUCUUUCUUUCUUUUUUUAAACAAUUCCGACACUCAUUUUUAAUGAGUAAAAAUGGAGGCAUUUCGGCUUAAGAAGCCCAAUAUUGCAGCCUUCACUGAUGAUUUCAGCCCCAGCCGUAGACUCAGAAAAGUGUGCUCCUGCAUUUCGUAUGUGGAGACUUCUGAAAAUAUGAAAUUUUCUUUUCGCCUUCUGUCUGGUGUUUCACCAAAACAAGAAAACAAAAGUGUUUCUGGCUCUUUUUUAAGUUCUGACGUUUGAGGCUCUAAGUUGAUUUGAACUCAGACAAUUCCUACAUUUUCCCCUUUAUAUAUUUCGAAACGGGCAGGUUCAAAAACAGAGAAGCUUUUCAAAACUGGCCUCUGAUUCUAAUUCUCAAAAUAGUGAUACUACAGGCGAACAUUUGGUGCGCUGAUCUACUUGUUUUUGUUCACUGAUUAUAAGUUUUGAUAAAGUCCUUUCACUGUACAAAUCAAUAGAAAAGCAAUCCUUCUAACCUAUGCAAAUUGUGAUUUUCUUCUUAUUCUCCUUUCUUUUUGUUUUAUAUUUUUAAUUGUUUAUUGACACUCAAUUGUCAUCAAUAUCAUUUGGCUCUUGCAGUUCACGUGUGAAUUGGGGUGGA
rnacentral:misc_RNA from 1 species